UUUUGCCAAGGCACAGAUAGCCUAAAAAGCAACAUUUAUACUGAGAAACGCGGGCUCCGGUGCCCAAAUCGCCUUUCCUCACGCCCACCGCAGGCAGCCACGGCUCGUGCGCGGCGGCCCCUCUCCCCGGGCCCAGGCCAGCAGCAGGUGCCCCAGGUGAGCGGCCAACGCCGAGACCUCGGUGUGCCGGGCUUUGCUUCCCAGGGCAGGGAUGCUAACCCGGCGCCCGGACCCGACACGGGGCGAACAAGUACAUUCCCUGAGGGAGUAAAAGUUUCCAGGACGAGGGUUCGUCCCCUCCUGAAGUUGGCGGGGUCAGGGCGGGCUCUCUGGACACCUGUGGCUAACACUGACAGCGCGAGCAGCACCCCUAAGCGACCCUCUCCCACACUCUCCGCCUCCAGGGCCAGCGGCGAGCCUGGAGGUGAGACCGCCUUUGCCCCCGCGGGACUACUUUUCUGCUCCCCCCAAACGAGGCCGAGGCGGAGGCGUCCGCGCGGGGGCGGCGCAAGCGAAGGGCGGGCGCGGGCGGCCGGCGCUGCGCGAUGCGGCCCGGCGGAGGGAUUCCCGGGUGAGGCGGCUUCCCGAAGUCAGAGGGGAGGAGGCCAAAAAAGUCGGCGGGGGAGGGGAAGCACGAGCUCGCGCUGGACGCGACCGGGAAGACAGAACCGGAACCGGAACCCGCGCGCGCGCCCGCGGUCGUCGGUCGCUCCCCCCACCUCCGCCCCACCGCCGGCGGCCGCCUCCGCCUUCUGCGCGCGCUCCCGCGAGGGCCCCCAGCACCCGGCGAGCCGGUUCCGCGCGGGGAGUCGCCGCCGCCGCCGCCGCCCGUCGCCUCCCGUGCCGAGGCUUCCACCAGGCCGGGCCGGACGGGAGCCUCCCGCCCCCCCCGCGGGAACCGCCGCCUACCGGAGCGUCGGGGAGGAGCCGCCGCCGCCGCCCGUGCUGACUGCGGAAGAGUCCGGGCCUCAAAGGGAUGGGGAGCAGCCCGCGGCCCUGAGAGACCCCGGUCCCUGUCACUUCAGGUCGCGGGACUCCUUUUCCGCCGGCGCCCGCGGCUCGUCCCGGUGCCCCGGAGCCUGGUGGGGGCGGCGAGGAAGACGCGAGGGGUCCCCGGGCCGGGGGACAUGGGGCCGCGCGAGCUCGGCGCGGGACGGCCCGAGACGCGGCCGAGGCUGCGGCCACGCGCGACCGGCAGCCCCAGUUAGAGAGCGGGGACGCGAGGGCUCGGCCGUGCGGGUGCGGACGGAGUUGACGGCCCCGAGACUCCGGAGGAGGAGCCGAUCCCGCCCCGGCCCCGGCCGCGGCCCCGGCGGGAGUCCGGGUCCCCUUCCCACGGCGCGCGGACUUCCCUGGGCCACGGAGUUCUCUCGCUGUGCCUCCUGCAGGAUUUGUCGCAGGCGCCGGGACUCGCCUGCCGGCUGA
rnacentral:lncRNA from 1 species